UAAUAAAAGUUGAAGAAAAGUAAAUUAUAUGUUUCACCCCAGAAAAAAUUUUAUAAAACCAAUUACAUACAUAUGUAUACAUACUACAUGUGCAGGUAUACAUGUAAUUAUUUGGACAUUCAAAGCGUAUUUUUCAAGCCAGCUUUUAGAGAAAAAUAAAAUAUAAAAGUGCCAGAAUGCACAAGUGAAAAUUGCAUCGAUCUAUUGAAACGUUGGAGUUUUAAGGCAUCCAUUUGAAAGAAACAGGCAAAUUUUUUUACAAACAAGGAAAGAGCAUGGGAGUUUAAUAUGAAAAGCAAUGCCAUAAGAAAAGAAAACGGCAUAUCUGAAGGCGAAUAGAGAUGGAUAGCGCAGCUGAGAAAAGAGAAAGGCAGAGAAUAAAUAAUGAGGGGUGGAUGACAACAAGGUAAAAUUUUUUAAUGAGCAAACAAUUUGAAGGGGUUGCUGCUUGGUCUAGUAUGUAUUAUAGAUUCGUUGCAGUUUGUUGAGUUAACAGAUUCAUAAUGUGUUUGUUAAAGUCUCAGAGCGAGAAUAAAUGAAUUAAUAGCCAUUUCAUAAAAGUAAUUAGAACAAGUUGCAAAAUUUUUAAACACAUUCAUAUACACGCACAUCGUAAAUGAGCAAACUUUUGGAGAGGACGCAUCAACUUUGAAGUCGUUUGAUUCUGACAUCAGCUGCACUAUGCCGCAAAGAGGUCAAAAAAGAAACGGUAAUAUAAAUACUGACGAGUUCGACGAAACAAUUAAUAAAGUUGUCAAAAUGAGUAAGCCCAGCAAUGAAGCUUUCAGCACUCUUUAGGAGAACUUGACGCUGCAUCCCUCAGCCGAAGAAACUUCAUAUGAAAGAAUGAAAGAAAUACAAAAUAUAGUGUUCUUACAUAACUAAAAAAGAAGUUUUGAGAAAAGCUACUUAGUUUAAAGAGAGAAACACAUCGUCGCCAGACAUGCUUUAAUAAGAUACUUUGUACUGUGCAAUGUCUGAUGGAGGAUUCGCUGUUAUGUUAAAAAAAGUAAAUAC